AUUGAACGCUGGCGGCAUGCCUUACACAUGCAAGUCGAACGGCAGCACGGGAGCAAUCCUGGUGGCGGGUGGCGAACGGGUGAGUAAAGUAUCGGAACGUGCCCAGUCGUGGGGGAUAACGUAGCGAAAGUUACGCUAAUACCGCAUACGAUCUAUGGAUGAAAGCGGGGGAUCGCAAGACCUCGCGCGAUUGGAGCGGCCGAUAUCAGAUUAGGUAGUUGGUGGGGUAAAGGCUCACCAAGCCGACGAUCUGUAGCUGGUCUGAGAGGACGACCAGCCACAGUGGGACGGAGACACGGCCCAGAGUCCUACGGGAGGCAGCAGUGGGGAAUUUUGGACAUGGGCGAAAGCCUGAUCCAGCCAUGCCGCGUGCAGGAUGAAGGCCUUCGGGUUGUAAACUGCUUUUGUACGGAACGAAAAGGUUUGGCCUAAUAAGCUGAGCUCAUGACGGUACCGUAAGAAUAAGCACCGGCUAACUACGUGCCAGCCGCCGCAGUAA
rnacentral:rRNA from 1 species